GGGAGUGGGUACGUAUACUCGUAUACUCCCAAAAUCGAAAAACAUCUUACCAUGCUCUUGGUGUUUUCGACUUAUCAAAUCAUCCUCACCCGUAAAAUCGGUGCGAGAUUUUCGGAAAUCAAUCAGCCGUUUAGGAGAAGCAACCUUUAGCAUCGCGGGACGUCGCAAAAGAUGCCUCAAAGGUUAUUUUUUCCGAACAAAUGAAACCUCUGUCACAAAAAUGACAUAUAUGCACACAUUAACACAUAUUUUACGCAAAACUCGAAACAACGGCAUUCGCCACCAAGUCUGAUGCUGAUCACAUCGAACUCACAAACGUCCUAAACAGACAUAGCCAUCUCACGAAGAUGACUCUCUUAAAUCCGACACAAGGAUAAUAGCGCUAUAAAAGAAAUCCGAUGGUCCAGCACUUCCGGUCUCCGGAGAGAUGCUCGAUUCAUAUCAAACAAGUCGUAUAAGCCGAGAACCUAUCGCGGACUUUAAAUCGAUACGAAUCAGGAAGAAAUCGCAACAGAAAAAACGAUAGCCGGCUAGUCACCACACAAGCCUUAAACCGAAAGUAAACCUAGGUCUUGCCCUAAACCCAGCGCACUGGUCUCUAACAUCUCAAGGCAUGAUAUCGAAAGAUACGAGAUUCCUAAACCAUGCCUCUAUGUUUAUAUUUGACAUCUUCAGCGCCCCCGCGAAGCUCACAUCUCGCGGAAGAGCUCUCGAAACAGAUCUCGAAUGAAACAUUUCACAAUCGAAGAAGGAUAUGAGACGACAACUCAUCACCUUUCCUUCCCACUAUACACUAACUCAUAAAAAAAAAGUGCCAUUUGAUUAUCUUAUCAUAAAAAGCCGCAAAGCGGGAGGGAUUCAAAGCCACACGUGGCCAGUCCCGAAACACAAAAUAAGGCCGUUUAAGGCCGAAACAUAAAAACAUAAAAACAAAUCUCUCGCAAGAGAUCUAACCCAAGUCAUCCUCAGAACUCACGCUCCCUCUUCACCCGUCGCCUCGUCCGAGCCUGGAGCCGCGUCACCUCCGUUUUCUCCGACCAUCGGAUCUUUCCCCUCUGGGUCUUCU
rnacentral:lncRNA from 1 species